UCCUGCUUCCGGCAGGCCCUCCCGGAGACCUCACAGAGGGGUGUUUGUUCGCAGUGGGCGGCGGGAGAGAUGCUAAUCUCGGUGGAUCUCUGCUCCCGGCUGAAGGUCAGGAGGCUCUGGGCCACAGCCGCCUGGGAGAUAAGAGAGAAGGAGCCCUGGGAACACACAGCCUGUGACUGGAGAGAUUGAGCAAGGCAGGAAAGCAGGUGCAGGAAGAACAAGCCGCUACAAAUUAAAGGAAAUGAAAUGAGGAGACAGCCAUCGGGGGUACAGAUGCCACCAAAGGCAAAGAUCUAC